rnacentral:tRNA from 1 species
AGCUCAGCUGGAUAGAGUACUCGGCUACGAACCGAGCGGUCGGAGGUUCGAAUGUCCUUCA